rnacentral:lncRNA from 1 species
GUUAACCUUGUUUUUCAUUUGAAGUUGGAUCUGUUGGGUUCUACUGUUUUGGGUUUUAUAGCACAAAUGAAUGCACAACAUAUUUUCCUUUCUCUAGCCUAAACUUUUCUUUUGCAAGUAAUAUUGUUACUUGUAACUGCUUGCAAAUGAAUUAAUUUUUCUUAAUUUAUCUGCUCUCUAAAUCAUUUGUUUCAAAAAUGCUGGUCACAAAUGAAUGCACAACAUUUUUGCCUUUCUCUAGCCUAAAGUUUUCGUUUGCAAGUAAUAUUUUCACUUGUAACUGCUUGCAAAUGAAUUAAUUUUCCUUAAUUUAUCUGCUCUUCAAAUCAUUUGUUUCAAAAAUGCUAGGCAAUUGAUGCCUUCUUGGCUUUUGUGCUAUUCUUGUUUGAAUCCCUAUUUGUUUUUACCUUUCCUUCUGUUUUAUUAUUGUUUAUAUCUUGGUUUUUCAUAGCUUAAAACUUGCUUGAGCCAAGUGUCUAGAGACGUCUAACG